CUUUAACCAGCCUGGACCAUGCACUCACCAGGAACUACUCACCCAUCAAUCCAAGGCUGAUCAGAGGCGCAGACCUGCAAUGGCAUCUCCUGGAGCACUGGAUCUGCACUGUCUCACUGAGUGGCAAACUCCCCACAUUCAGCACCCAACCCAAACAAUGGAAUUGAAAAACAAAGAAAGAAGAAAAGGAGGCUGGUGGCUGCAGGAAUUGAGUCAGGAGGUCUGGGACCCUCCCGGAUACCACUUUUUAUGAAGCACUACAUGAGUUGCUGAUGGAUAAAUCACCCAAGCAUGGUUAAAGAGACCCUAAUCUCCAGAUGGUACCAGAUCCAUUUAAUUGUAUCCUCUGACCUCAUCUCACCUGAGCCUGCAUUAAAAUCAUAAUACAGUUCAAGUGUAAAAAUGAUAUAGUGUUUAUUCGUCCUGUUUAUAGGGGG
rnacentral:lncRNA from 1 species